rnacentral:rRNA from 1 species
UUCUGCCUACGGGGGGCAGCAGUGAGGAAUAUUGGUCAAUGGGCGCGAGCCUGAACCAGCCAAGUCGCGUGAGGGAAGACGGUCCUAUGGAUUGUAAACCUCUUUUGUCAGGGAGCAACGCCGGCUACGUGUAGCCGGACUGAGAGUACCUGAAGAAAAAGCAUCGGCUAACUCCGUGCCAGCAGCCGCGGUAAUACGGAGGAUGCGAGCGUUAUCCGGAUUUAUUGGGUUUAAAGGGUGCGUAGGCGGAAUGCCAAGUCAGCGGUAAAAUCGCGGGGCUCAACCUCGCUCCGCCGUUGCAACUG